rnacentral:rRNA from 14 species
UUGGGUUAAGUCCCGCAACGAGCGCAACCCUUGUCAUUAGUUGCUACGAAAGGGCACUCUAAUGAGACUGCCGGUGACAAACCGGAGGAAGGUGGGGAUGACGUCAAGUCCUCAUGGCCCUUAUAGGUGGGGCUACACACGUCAUACAAUGGCCGGUACAAAGGGUCGCAAACCCGCGAGGGGGAGCUAAUCCAUCAAAGCCGGUCGUAGUCCGGAUCGCAGUCUGCAACUCGACUGCGUGAAGUCGGAAUCGCUAGUAAUCGUGGAUCAGCAUGUCACGGUGAAUACGUUCCCGGGUCUUGUACACACCGCCCGUCACAC